rnacentral:rRNA from 1 species
UGGGCGUAAAGCGUGCGCAGGCGGUUGUGCAAGACCGAUGUGAAAUCCCCGGGCUUAACCUGGGAAUGGCAUUGGUGACUGCACGGCUAGAGUGUGUCAGAGGGGGGUAGAAUUCCACGUGUAGCAGUGAAAUGUGUAGAGAUGUGGAGGAAUACCGAUGGCGAAGGCAGCCCCCUGGGAUAACACUGACGCUCAUGCACGAAAGCGUGGGGAGCAAACAGGAUUAGAUACCCUGGUAGUCCACGCCCUAAACGAUGUCAACUAGUUGUCGGGUCUUAAUUGACUUGGUAACGCAGCUAACGCGUGAAGUUGACCGCCUGGGGAGUACGGUCGCAAGAUUAAAACUCAAAGGAAUUGACGGGGACCCGCACAAGCGGUGGAUGAUGUGGAUUAAUUCGAUGCAACGCGAAAAACCUUACCUACCCUUGACAUGGCAGGAAUCCCGGAGAGAUUCGGGAGUGCUCGAAAGAGAACCUGCACACAGGUGCUGCAUGGCUGUCGUCAGCUCGUGUCGUGAGAUGUUGGGUUAAGUCCCGCAACGAGCGCAACCCUUGUCAUUAGUUGCUACGAAAGGGCACUCUAAUGAGACUGCCGGUGACAAACCGGAGGAAGGUGGGGAUGACGUCAAGUCCUCAUGGCCCUUAUGGGUAGGGCUUCACACGUCAUACAAUGGUACAUACAGAGGGCCGCCAACCCGCGAGGGGGAGCUAAUCCCAGAAAGUGUAUCGUAGUCCGGAUUGCAGUCUGCAACUCGACUGCAUGAAGUUGGAAUCGCUAGUAAUCGCGGAUCAGCAUGUCGCGGUGAUACGUUCCCGGGUCUUGUACUCACCGCCC